CUUCAGGGAGCCCAGCCACAGCGGCCGGCCCUCGGGCCGGUCCUGGCCGUAGGCCGCCAGCACCGCGUGUGCCUC
rnacentral:antisense_RNA from 1 species